rnacentral:lncRNA from 1 species
ACUAUUAAGCUAAACCCAAAACCCUAGAAUCACCUAGUCGAUAACAAUCAAAACAAAAUAAGCAUGCAAAAGAGAUAGAAUUUUUACUUUCAUCAAAAAGAAUAAAGUGGCACAUUGGUGUUCUCCAUGAGACUUCAAAGUACAAGUCCUCCAAUGGUGAUCCAUAUGGAAGUUAGCCAAGAUCCUUCCUAACUGGUGCGCUACCGCAGCCUCUUCUUUUAAAAAAUACUGCCA